CUCUUUCAACAUAAUUUCUUUAUUAUCCUCACUUCCAAGUUGCUUUUAAAUGCAACCUGUUUUCUCUCUAUACUGCUAUUUAGCUGAUUUAUUAUAACUCAUCUUCUUUUCCCUGGAAGUUGCUGGUCAAGGGCUAAAGCACUAAAGAAGGUGAAGUUAAGCUGAGAUGACUGGAGCAGCUCGUAUUAUUUUUCAUAGCUGCAAAGGAGCUGAGGAAAUCCAAGUGGAUUAUUUCACCUACAGAGCAUGAAACAGAC
rnacentral:lncRNA from 1 species